AUUUUCCCACAACCAGGAACACACUGGAUGAUUGAAAUGAUCAGUCUGAUUGUCUCCAAAGGGGACCCUACUCGGGUACAAACUGUCAAAAAUUUUGCCAGGUCUCCAGGGCUUGAGUCUAAAGAUGAGCAGAAACUAUUGCUGGACCAGGAUGGACCACGUCUCAUGAGUACACAUCUUCCCAUACAACUGUUUCCCAAGUCUUAAUUGACAUCCAGUGCUAAGAUUAUCUACGUCAUCAGGAAUCCAAGAGAUGUUGCUACAUCUCACUAUCAUAUCAGAAAACAUUUUCACGUUUUGAAUAAUCAACAGACUUUUGAUGAGCAUCUUCGUUUAUUUAUCCAAGGUGACGUGAUUUUUGGAUCCUGGUUUGAUCACACACUUGGAUGGUUAACCAGGAGAGACACAGAGAAUUUUCUACUAAUGUCCUAUGAGGAGCUACAGAGGGACCUCAAAGGCAGCAUGCAAAAAGUGUGUCAAUUUCUGGGCAAAUAUCUGACUCCAGAACAGCUUGAUUCUGCUGCCCGAAACUUGUCCUUUUCAGUCAUGAAAGAGAAUAGCAUGUCCAACAGCCUAAUGCUAAGAAAUCCCAAAGAUGGCACCGUCUCCAAUAUACCAUUGCUGAGAAAGGGCAUCUGUGGUGACUGGAACAAUCUCUUCACUGUGGCUCAAAGUGAAGCCUUUGACAGAGUCUAUCAGGAGAAGAUGUCGAGGCUGGAUCCUGGUCUCUUCCCCUGGUCAGCACGAUGUUGAUCAAUGCCCCCACCCACCUACCCCCUCGCCACUCUGCACACCCUCAUCCAGGAUAGGGUUUCUUAGUGUAGUCCUGGCUGUGCUGGACCUAGCUCUGUAAAUAGGCUGGUCUCAAACUCAGAGAUCUGCCUGUCUCUGCCUCCUGAGUGCUGGGAUUAAAGGUGUGCACCACCAAUGUCUGGCUGUCUGGUUAAAAGACUCUAACCAUUUUAAGGACUCUGGGUGUUACUUACUAAACUUUAAAAAAAAAUCUAUCUGUGCCUUUUUUUUAUUUUAUUUUUUUUGUCAUCUGGAUGCAAGUUAGUCAUCUGGGACCAGGAAAUCUGAUGGAGAAAAUGCCUCCAUCAGAUUGGUCUGUAUGAGGGACCACCCCACUCAAGGUGGUGCCAUCCUUGGGGAAGUGGCUCUGGGUUGUAUG